GUGUGGAUUAUUUUAACCUAUCAGAAAACUGAACAGGAUCCUGAAAGACUAUUCAAGACAGCUGGCCUGCCAUGGAAGGGGAAACAAAGGGAUUUGUUUUAGUUCCCUGACAAAGGGAAAGCACCUCAAAUAAAGAAUGGAUGAUGUUUGUGAUUCCAAAAACAGUAACGGUUUCUAAAGUUUGUGCUUAUAGUAAGGCAGCUGCAGUGCAUCCCGUCUCUUAGCUUAUCAUACAUCCCUUUGUCACUGUGAACAGUGCUGAUAUGCGUUUUGGCAGUGGCACAAAACUUACAGUAAUAGGGAAGAAUGAUGAAAUCAUACCUCCAGCGGUGGCCAUCUUUUCCCCGUCAAAGCAGGAGAUCCAGGAGAAGAGCAAGGCCACGCUGGUGUGCCUGGCCUCUGGUUUCUACCCUGACCACCUGACUCUGGUCUGGAGGGUGAAUGGUGUGAAAAGGACCGAAGGGGUGGGGACAGACGAGUCCUCCACACAGAAUGGGAGCACCUACUCCCGGACCAGCCGACUGAGGAUGCCAGCCUGGGAAUGGUUCAACCCUCUGAAUCGCUUUGAGUGUGUUGCCAUUUUUUUUCAGAAUGGAACAACAGCAUCAAUAAACAAAUUUAUCCGUGGUGAUGCUGGUUGUGCACUCACAGAAGAGUCGUACUUGCGGUAUGGAAAUUCCCUGAAGCUCACUUACCUCAUCCUCUGUGGCAAAGCCUUGGUCUAUGCAGUUUUGGUGAGUGGGCUGGUGUGGACGGCCAAGGUAAGUCAGAGUGGCCCUGGAAGGCUGGGCUUACUCACUAAGGAUCAGUGGAUGCAGGCUGAACCUCUUCUCAGAGGUGUGGCUGUUGUGCAGGUGCUCUGCCAGGCUUUGUGCAGCUCAGCUUGAAGAAGCACAAGUGAUGGGUUUUCUCUUACUGUUUUUGCAGAACUCAAAUAAAAUCAGUGCUAUCUAGCAGAGAAAUUCCUUCUCACAAUCCUCUUUAAACACAUGAACAAGAUGAGAAUUAAGGACAAGAUGCCCAGAAAUUAAAUGAGGGAAAUAUCAGAUAUAUCACACAUUUGUGUAACCAUUGUAAAGGGGCUUACACCUGCAGCA